UUGACCUCGGAUCAUGUAGGACUACCCGCUGAACUUAAGCAUAUCAAUA
rnacentral:rRNA from 1 species